AGUACUCCAUUUUCUCUCGUGGAAUGUGCACGGCCCGUUCUUCAUUCUCCGUUAUCGCCUACAACCGCCACGAUUACAGUAUAGACAGUCAUCGACGUGGUAGUUGGUGCACGCUGGAGUUUCAAUUGAAGUAUAUAGACUGGCUGCCCGAGAAGUACUACGUCACCUUUACAACAUGAGCUGGAUUCGUCGACGCGGUGGUUAGUACAUGCUGGAUUAUCGCAUGAGAAGGCGCUACUUAAAAGUACACGCGGCUGACAGACGAACCUUCUACAACGUGCUAGUCUUCUCUGCGAUCGUGGCGCCCCUAUGCGGACCUUCACCGACAACAGCAACGAUUAUUUUGUCCAUUAUGUUAUACGCGAUAUAAGAAACUAGCUUAAGUAACUGUACUAACUGAAGCUUACUAUAGUAUAAUCUGUUUCAUCUGCCACCCCUCAAGUCUCAUCUCCUACCCAUCAGUUUCUUCUACUACCUAUCUAUUAGUUGCAGUAGCAGGACCGUAGACUGAGCAAAUUCUUCGGGGAAGGGGCGCAAAAUUUCAUGACGCGGUGUUUAAUGGUCACAGGUCCGUAGCGAAUCAUUCCAGGAGGGGUGUGUCUUUUUCAUCAGGUUGGUUUUUGGAGCCAGUCACUUGGUCUACAGCCCUGGGGGAUUGACGUUUCAAAAAAAUGGGGGCACACUGCGAACAACGAGGUUGUGAAACCUGUGGUAGCGGGUCCUGAAAAUGUUUUUUUUACUAAACCUCAUCGUAGAUGCCAUUUGUCCUAAAAGAAUUACGCUUGUUGGGAAG